GGGGGUAUAGCUCAGUGGUAGAGCAUUUGACUGUAGAUCGAGCGGUCCCCGGUUCAAACCCGGGAGUCUUCU
rnacentral:tRNA from 1 species